rnacentral:rRNA from 1 species
AAUCAACGCUGGCGGCGUGCCUCAGACAUGCAAGUCGAACGCGAAAGUCCCCUUCGGGGGACAAGUAGAGUGGCGCACGGGUGAGUAACACGUAGGUAAUCUACCUUCGGGUGGGGAAUAACGCAGGGAAACUUGCGCUAAUACCGCAUAAUGCAGCGGCACCACAUGGUGACAGUUGUUAAAGCGGGGGAUUUUCGGACCUCGCGCCUGAAGAGGAGCCUGCGGCAGAUUAGCUAGUUGGUAAGGUAACGGCUUACCAAGGCGACGAUCUGUAGCCGGCCUGAGAGGGCGGUCGGCCACACUGACACUGACAUACGGGUCAGACUCCUACGGGAGGCAGCAGUCGGGAAUUUUGGGCAAUGGGCGAAAGCCUGACCCAGCAACGCCGCGUGAAGGAUGAAAUCCCUCGGGAUGUAAACUUCGCAAGAAUAGGAAGAAUGAACGAGCGCUAACACCGUUCGUGAUGACGGUACUAUUUGUAAGCUCCGGCUAACUCCGUGCCAGC